CAAGGUUAAAAAUCUAUAUUAAAAGAUCCAAGUUUAUAUUAAAAAGUCAAUUCAUGAAGUACGUUAUUAACGUUAAAGAUUAAAAACUGAUAUUUGUCUAAAAAGCAAUUCAACUGCGAUAAAGAGAAAAUAAAUAGGAAGUUUAUUUUGAAGGAGAUGGGUUGGAGACGUGCUGUCAGCCAAUCAGGAAGAAGCUCGGACUGUUGACCUGCACAGAGCAGAGUUCACUUCCCCUUGAGCUGCUGGAAGAACAGAGAGCAAACCCCGCUUCAAGAACGAUACCUACCUCGUGAAGAUAUUGCAAUAAAAGUUGUUAAAACUGAUUAAAAACUCUGAAAUAAUCCAGUGUGGAGCCCUGGACCUGUGAGAGUGCAGUCGGAGAGACCUGACGUCUCCCUCACAAAGAAAACGCACCGGUCAGGUUUUUUUUGUUGGACCCUUUGAACCUUUGAUCUACCUGAAUGUUGGAGCCUGAAUCGAGACAUUGAUGGCGAGCCACAGCCCAGAAGAGAACUAGAUACGGUGCCUGCAGAAUUCGACACUUCAUUACAUACACACAUCCACCACCAACUGCGCAGUAGGACAAACUCUGACUCUGACAAACUGAAACUGAAUUGAAGUGACUGAAAACAGGAGGGGGAAAUUCUGAACUUUAAAUCACAGCUGUGAGUUUUGUUUACAUUUUUUUUUUUUUUUCUACUUACCCGGGUAAGAUUUUUGUCAUUUGAAGAGUGUGUAAUUUUUAUGUUUUUUGGCUUAUCCUUCCCAUCCAUGCAUUAAAAAGGGAAGCGUUUUUGUUUCUCAAAGAAAGUA